CCACUCCGUGCGCUUCCUCCCACAGGUCAGCUCUGCGGAGGGGGCGGCCAAGGAGGAGCCGAAGAGGAGGUCGGCCCGGUUGUCAGCCAAACCUGCGCCUGCAAAAGUGGAGGCGAAGCCCAAAAAGGCGGCGGGAAAGAUUCUUCAAAACACCUAAAUGAUAACGAUAAACUCAAAAUUGAUCCUUUUAGCUACUCAUUAUAUGAUAGUCAACCUGACCAUACAACAUCUUUCAGGAUAAGUCUGCAGACAAGAAAGUGCCAACAAAAGGGAAAAGGGGAGCAAAGGGAAAGCAGGCGGAAGUGGCUGACCAGGAACCUAAAGAAGACCUACCUGCGGAAAACGGAGAAACUAAAAACGAGGAGAGUCCAACCUCAGAUGAAGCAGGA